AGACGGAGGGGGCUAGCGUUGUUCGGAAUUACUGGGCGUAAAGCGCGCGUAGGCGGACCAUCAAGUUGGGCGUGAAAGCCCUGGGCUCAACCCAGGAAUUGCGCUCGAAACUGGUGGACUAGAGUCCGGGAGAGGAUAGUGGAAUUCCCAGUGUAGAGGUGAAAUUCGUAGAUAUUGGGAAGAACACCAGUGGCGAAGGCGGCUCUCUGGACCGAUACUGACGCUGAGGUGCGAAAGCGUGGGGAGCAAACAGGAUUAGAAACCCCAGUAGUCC
rnacentral:rRNA from 1 species